GAUAUACUCCCUCCGUCCGAAAAUACUUGUCAUCAAAAUGAAUAAAAGAGGAUGUAUCUAGAUGUAUAUUAAUUCUAGAUAUAUCCAUUUUUAUCCAUUUUGAUGACAAGUAUUUUCGGACGGAGGGAGUAUGAU
rnacentral:pre_miRNA from 1 species